rnacentral:lncRNA from 1 species
GAAGGCACAACAAUUAUUCUAUUGAACCGGGAGUUAAGAUUGCCACCUGGCCAUUUUGGAUUCCUUAUGCUUCUGAAUCAACAGGGAAAAAAAUGGAAUUACUGCACUGGCUGGGGUGAUUGAUUCUGACUACCAAGGAAAAAUUGAAUGGCUACUCCACAAUGGAGCCCCGUGGAAGCAAAGUCCCCAUUGGAUGCCAGCUCACCCCGACUUAUCCUGGAGUUUUCUGUCCUGAGUUUUCCAACUUCUGCAUGCAAUUUUCUCUCCCACGCCAGCAAGUUGACACAUUCAACUGAACUUUGCUGAGUUCCCGUUCAUGCUGGAGACAUAACAGCAAGCAUCUUUCCCCUCAGGCUGCUCCUUGCUGGGAUGGUUGAGGAAGGGCAAACGAGGAAAUACACCUGCACAAUAAG